rnacentral:rRNA from 1 species
GACGAACGCUGGCGGCGUGCCUAAUACAUGCAAGUAGAACGCUGAAGGAGGAGCUCGCUCUUCUGGAUGAGUUGCGAACGGGUGAGUAACGCGUAGGUAACCUGCCUGGUAGCGGGGGAUAACUAUUGGAAACGAUAGCUAAUACCGCAUAAGAGUAGAUGUUGCAUGACAUUUACUUAAAAGGUGCAAUUGCAUCACUACCAGAUGGACCUGCGUUGUAUUAGCUAGUUGGUGGGGUAACGGCUUACCAAGGCGACGAUACAUAGCCGACCUGAGAGGGUGAUCGGCCACACUGGGACUGAGACACGGCCCAGACUCCUACGGGAGGCAGCAGUAGGGAAUCUUCGGCAAUGGACGGAAGUCUGACCGAGCAACGCCGCGUGAGUGAAGAAGGUUUUCGGAUCGUAAAGCUCUGUUGUAAGAGAAGAACGAGUGUGAGAGUGGAAAGUUCACACUGUGACGGUAUCUUACCAGAAAGGGACGGCUAACUACGUG